rnacentral:rRNA from 1 species
GGAUGAACGCUGGCGGCGUGCCUAAUACAUGCAAGUCGAGCGAACGGACGAGAAGCUUGCUUCUCUGAUGUUAGCGGCGGACGGGUGAGUAACACGUGGAUAACCUACCUAUAAGACUGGGAUAACUUCGGGAAACCGGAGCUAAUACCGGAUAAUAUUUUGAACCGCAUGGUUCAAAAGUGAAAGACGGUCUUGCUGUCACUUAUAGAUGGAUCCGCGCUGCAUUAGCUAGUUGGUAAGGUAACGGCUUACCAAGGCAACGAUGCAUAGCCGACCUGAGAGUGUGGUCGGCCACACUGGAACUGAGACACGGUCCAGACUCCUACGGGAGGCAGCAGUAGGGAAUCUUCCGCAAUGGGCGAAAGCCUGACGGAGCAACGCCGCGUGAGUGAUGAAGGUCUUCGGAUCGUAAAACUCUGUUAUUAGGGAAGAACAUAUGUGUAAGUAACUGUGCACAUCUUGACGGUACCUAAUCAGAAAGCCACGGCUAACUACGUG